ACCAUUCCUUAAAAAAAUUAGUCUCACCGCUCAAGAAAAAAAUUAGUCUGACACGGUGCUCUUGCCUGAUCCCCUUUUCAUCUUGUUCUAUCCCCUCUAUACAAAUUUUGUUCCACCCGAGUGCUACGGAUUUAAUUCCCAACACCACCUCAGUUUCCCCUCUUGAUUCCUUGCCAUGACCUUGCUCUUACACAACUGCACGCACGGGGUGGCCAUCUCGUGUGCCUAAUUUGGCUCCCUGUACGCCUCCUCGAUCUGCUAGGCCGAACGGCGAUGGAGGGUUAGCAGGGCUCGAUGAGAAACUGCGCAAUGAAGGAGGCGAGCUUGUCGAUCUUGAAGUGCCGCGGUCGUCGGCGUCCUGGGAGGUGACGCGGGCGCUGAUUUCGUCUCGCACAUCCAGCUUGAAUCCACCUCAAUUGUGAGGAUGCUGGCGGCGUGUCUUCCAUCGCAUCGUGGCCGUCCCGGAGCGAGGCGCCCCGGCAGGUCAUCUUCAUCCUACUUCGGCGGCUCAUUUUUCACCUGCAGGUCCCCCCUUCUUCCUUUCCAGCCUAUCUCAUACUCGUAUAUUUUUUUCUGGUUUCAUAUAAUGUACAUUAAGGUACGACUUGUUAGUGAAAUAUGUAAAUCUAUUUAUGCCCCAUACACUUUUUCCGUACUUGGGAGUGGCAUCUGAAGUGUUAGGCCCCUUGUCCCCAUUCAUAUUUAAAAAAAUUAAGAAAUUAAUAAGUUCAUUUGUAAUUAGGUAUAGUUUUACUAUUUUCCAAAGAUAGUAUUAAUUUUAAUAAGUGAACAUGAAAAUGGGUGCUAUUGCAUUUUACAUAUAAGCUAUGACGAUCUAUGGAUGUUGUCGCUAUUGACUUGUACAAUAGAAUAAGGUUUAAAUAUUAGAUAAUAUAUAGAGUCGACAAUUGGUAUUAUUGUGCUAUUUCGAUCGAAUGUUCAUGCAUGUUUCCAAUACUUCUAGGAGUAGUAGAUCAUAUUUGUUCUGCCAUCUCAUGUUAGCAUAGAAAAUCCAAUUUAUUUUUAGGAUAGCUCGCACUGUACUAAUUUUCCAUCUACUUAUGGUUAUCCUUGUUAUUAGUUCAUUUUCUAUAGAAAAGAAAAUAGCAGGUCUGAUCAAGUCAGCAUGUUAUUAACUGCAAGUGUUUUGAGUACCCCCUUUCUCUUAUGUAUCUCAUGAACUAUGUGGAACACUCGAACAAAAAUAUCAGGUUUUUCUGAUGCAGCUUGGCCUACUUCCUGUAGCAUAGACUGUAUCUCCGGCCAAGCUGCGUUCAACAUGAAUGUCACAAAUAGGUAUGCGUAUCCAGCCCACUGACAUAUUGGCAUAACAUCUUGGUAGUUUUGUGCUUUGUAUCUUGGGCUAUCUAUGAAGCUGGAUGGCACAUGGCAGUAGUAUUCUCUUUCAUACCUGCUCACCUCUUGUAUCUUCUCUUUCUAUUGCCUCUUGCAAGCCAGCAUAUAAUUUCGUUCUUAGGUUUCCUUGGUGUCUUUUGAUCCAGUCCAGUUUGUACUGCAAAAUGCAUGCAAGGGCAUCCACACUGAACUAUAGUUUAAGCUUUUGACACACAAGGAAGUGUUUUGAUUGAUUAGUAUGGUGUUGUAUAUGACUCUCAUAGUAUUCCAAAAUUGUUACAUGCUUUCUCUUGCAUUUUGCACCUUACCUUAAUAUGUAAUGUAUAUUUCCUCUAUAUCUUCUGUGUAGGGUAAUAAUAAUGGAUACUACAUAGCGAAUUAUGAAUGGUUCUUUGAUAUUCUUCUCCGCCUUAUCUCUUUGUACUGAACAAUGAUAUGACAUCCUUUUCUAUUCCCUAUUGUAUCAUUCACAAUCAAGCCUGCAAGUUUGGUUGCCAUUCUGAGUGUUUUUGCUAGUCUAUUAUCUCUAUCCAACAUAUUUUUAAGGCCCUCGACAGUAUGACGAUUGGUUGACUCCCUUGUGUAUUCUGAUGCUGACGCGUUAAUCCUAUUUUUACCUCAUUUGUAGGGUCAUAGGUGCAUAACUGCGCUGUGUCUUUUUAUUUUUACCUUCAGGUAGUAGUGUUCCUAUUUUGUGGUAAUUUUAGCCAUUCAUUCCAAAUACAUAAGGUCCAUGACCAUUGUUUAUUUUUAUGUCUACCUUUCCUCCCGUUGAUAUGGAAGCGAACAUGGACUUGUACAAUCUGAAUUUUUUCAUGUCGUUUUUCCACCUAUUUCCAUUGUGUUUCCUUAGCAAUUUGGUGUUAUCCAGCGGCUCUCUCAAUAGUGGCAAGUCAACCUUGCCUGUUGGUAGCAUAAUCUGAAAGAUGGCAUGUUCUCGCUCUACCUGAAGUUCUUUCUUCGUACCAGAAAAUUGCAUCACAUCACUCAGUUGCAACUUGGGUUUCUUACGUUCCAAUUUUCCAUAUCUGCCCUCUCCAAUGUCCUGUUCAAGUUUCCUAAUUCAGCAUCAAUUUAAAAUUCAUACUGUCUAGUUGUUCUUGUUGGUACUGAAACAAACUUGAUAGAACUUACAUAUUUGGUGGUUUGUUCUCUAUCAUUGUUUUUUCUGUCAUACACUUUGUGUUAUUUUUAGUUGUUUACACGCCCCUAAAAGAAAUACCAGGUUCUUGAAUGUCCAAAUUGUAGAUCUUGAUUGAACUUCCUUGAUACUUACCUCUUAGUCAUACCAGCCUGACUGAUUAUUGAUUUUGUUUUUGUCACUGGUUCUGGAUUGUUCUUUCUUUGUAUUUUUCUUUUCCUAUAUAGUCUUACAUCUCUAGCUAUCUCUGUUGUAUUACUUGCCCUGCAUAAGCAUAAAUACCAUAGUAGAAAUAAGAGAUUUUUUAGGUGUGCAUUGUACUGUCGUUUCUGUUCUUGCUGUUGGGAAAAGAUUGAACUGUAAGAAUAAGAUAAGAUUGUAAUCUAGGAUGCAAAGUUGAUGUGCAAUAACCACCGAACAAUCACAAAGGGAACUUAGGACAUGACAGAAAAGCUUAUUUGAUUAUGUUGUCAUACAUUUUGUUUCUGUUGGUGCUUUUGAGAAAAGAUUAAACUAUAUGUCAUUUCUACAUGAUCUGUGCAGAUGGUACUUACUGGAGGCUCGCUCGGCCGAUGGCGCAAUUGAGGAUAUUGGGGGAACUUGCUUGUGAGAGUUCCUUUUCUUCUUUGAGGGAAAGCCAUCAUGGUGGUAUAUAUUCAUUUGGAGUAACUGUAAUAGCAACAUCAUGAUGGGUACAAGUCUAACCUAUCAUGAGUUUAUCUAUGGAAUCAUGAGAUUGAUUGUGAGAUAGGUGUAAAGAAUAUGUGAUAGGUCGUAAGAUUGAUCGUGAGAUUAGUGUAUAUGGUAUUGGAAACAAAAACAAAAGAGAAUACAUGCAAAUGAUCAGUGCAGGGUUGGAUUGUUUGGGAGAAGCGAUUAACAUACCUAUCAUCGCUUU
rnacentral:lncRNA from 1 species